AAGACUUCGAUCUAGGAUGACACUUUACUUCCACCAGCAAGUCAUGGCGUUCUCCCCCUGAGUCAAGCUUCUGGCUGGCUCCGGUGCUGCUGACAUCUGGAGCAUCCCAUGUAACCUCAGCAGUGGCCCCGCCGUGCAGUGCCCACCCGCGAGUCACACAGGAAAGCACACACCAAGAUGGUGAUUGCUUGCCAAGGGACAUGGCUGUGAGGAUUUGAGGAAGGCUUUGCAGUCAGAGGUUGCACAAGUCACUGCCCCAGACUAGGCUCUGCUUGCCUGUUCCAGCUGAGCGGCUGCCUGCGUUCCACGGAAGAGAGAGGAUGGAUUGCCUGGAGAACCCCAGCAUCGCAGAUGUGAGCAUUUGCCUAACAGGCACCUCAGAAAUGCAUCCCGAGAGCCAUGCCUCUUCCUGAGCAGCAGCUGUUUCUCUCCAAUGGCCCCUGACCGAAUGGAUGAGCCGAGUAUUUAGCUGUUGUGUGUGCACUCCAGCUCAGGAGCUGCCGCUCUCCAGAAACUGCAAAGUCCUUCUCAGCAGGAUCUCCUCUUCUGUGAACUCUGACAGAUUGUGUGAACUGGAAAGUGGCCAAAUUGCAGCCCAGAUAAAGAGAGCCUUUCUGCAUAGUCACUAAUGAACUCUCUUUGCAGACUGUACCACGAGAGGUGGAGGCUGUUUUGGUGCCAGGGUUAAGGAUUAAGAGAUGGCCAUAGUUUGCUCAGGAGGUGCAGUGGGCUCUUAAGAAAAAGCAAAUUUCUGAACACUAACCUUCUUCUGGGCAGUAAACCUUUGCUAGGCAAGCGGGUCAGCCCACAAAGGGCAGCCAAAAUCAUUGGUGCCCGGGCAAAACACUGUAAAUUUCUCACUCCCUUUCAAGGAGCUCAUCUGCUGAGGGUGGCUCCUAUUCCUCUGUCAGACCUGGUGGUUGUGUUGCUCCAGCAGCACCCAUUGCCAGCGUGUGCUUUCAGAGCCGUGGGACAGUGUGGAGAAGGCAUUCGUAGUGCUGAGAAAUCAGAUUAGAUUAGCAGGAAUCGAUGAUAAAACAUUUAUCCCCAGGUAAAUUGGGGUCGCUGAGGAAAUGGAGCCCUUGUCCAUCCUCUACCGCAGUGCUGAACCAGGGGGAGAGCUCUCUGAUACCGGCACAUCAUCCAGAAAGGAGUCACUGCUUUGUGUCAUGGUCAUACUCAGGCUCUCAGGGCCAUGCAGGAGCAAAAUGCUGCAGGGAGUCUGGGAUGACUGAGCCCUCAGCAUCCUGGACACGCACCAGCGUUGGGGCACAGCAGGAGUGGAGUGGGCAGGAGUGCCUGUGCUCAUUGGGUGUGAGUCCGGGCGUGUGCUGCCUGUCUCAACCACAGCCAAGGCCACGAGCAUCACUUCCACGAGCAGGAAAUUCCUGGAAGGGAGGAAAGGCAUCUGGGCUCUGGCCAGUGAAACGAAAAGCCACAAGUCACAGACAUAGUGAAAAACCUUAAAAAUAUUGCUCAGUGGAACCGGUGCCCAGGGAAUUGUCACGUGAAUGUGAAGAUUCCCUGAAACAGCUGAAUUUGUCAGAGGAUUUGCUCUAAGGUCCUUAAUUCUGCUCAGACAAGGUCCUUCAAGAGGGGAGUGUGGUCACCGUUGGUGACUUGUAAAUUCCUCACUCCUUUCAUUAACUGCAACCUGUUUUGCAAGUAGCUUUCAAAGAUAAAGGCAAAAAUCAUCUAUUAGUUUUUCCUCAUUAAACUAGAGCUGAGCCCCAGCUGAUUCCAUCCUCUCGGCAAGGCUGGGACCUGCUUGGGGUCCCUGGAGAGGGGGAAAGGAUGGCAGUCCCGGAGAGGGACACCAGAGCACUGGGCAAUGCAAGUGAUGCCUGGUGUGCUUAUGGCUUCGGAACCUCUUGUCUCCUCCUGGAAAGUGUCUCCCUUUGCCACUGCUGUGCCUGGUUUUGCCUCUGCCGAUGAGGGGCUGCAAGCUCUGUUUUACCCACCGCUCAGGCACCCAGCUGGAGCACCAGCGCCUCGCUGCACGCCGGACCCACAGACUCUCCAGAUGAGCUUUGAAGGAUGCUUACACUAUUAAUGGGGUGUAUUUAUAACUGUUUAUCUCUGUCAGUUGGGUGGAAAAUUGCCAGAUGUGUCAUUUGCCUGCAUUACACAGACAUCUCUCGUGUUAUCUGGAUCAGUGCUUUUAAGCAGUGUGUCACUGCCAGGGAAAAGCUCAUUCCUUCUGCUUGAUGCUGAUGUCUAUGGGAUCUGCCUUACUGAGUAUGGAGAGCAAAGCCUUGGAGGAAAUCUCUGUAUGGGACAGAUCUAUCCUCUGCUGCUCUGGAUAUUAGUCUUGUGGAAGGAAAAAGGAGAAGCAGAGCCGAGAGCCUCCUGACUGGGGCUCCAGAGCAGCUCCAGAGUGCCUUGCUGCUCAGGCCGGCUCACCAGGAUGGCUGCGGGCUGGAUCUGUGCUGUGGGGCCCAUCUGGCUCUGGGCGAAUGCACCGGGCAUGGGGAGGAUGGGUGGAGUGGCCAGCACAGAGUAGGGCUCUGACAUGCUCCCCUGCCAUGCUGCUUGGACCUCCAUGCAGGCACCACCCUGGAGCUGUGUCUUGUGCUCAAACACAGGUUAUAAUGCCUGCUGCUGCUUAAAGUUUAAGGAUUAAUUAUUCUUGAGAGCUGUGAAGUCCAAAUGGAUGUACUACCUCAAUACACAAGCUUCUGUAACUGCUCCCUUGGGUUGACACCAUUAGCCACUCCAUGCUACUCCGGAGGCACGAGUAUCCCGCACAACGGGGCCAUUCACCAGCUGUGAGCGGUGCCCAGGAGUGGGCAAGGGGUCCUCGAGAGCACAGAUGCCCCAUGGGCAGAAGUAACUCAGAGUCACACAGAUGUCCCUUGCAACACAGAACAAGGGAGAAAGAUGAAAAUGGCUUAAAUAGAAAGAAAUUGUCUCCAAAUAAAAUGUUUUUCCUUUUUCCCCAUGAUACAGUGAAAUUUCUUCACGGGCAGAUAGUCAGAGUUGAGUCCAUUACACUCCACGCUUUUUGCCUUCAAACAUAAAUAGCUGCAUAUCAUCUAAGUGUUUGUUAUGAGGAAAUGUGGAUGCUAGAGAAAGUUAGACAUUAAAUCAUUAUUUCAUGCAGAAAGAUAUUGCUAAAGGGAGAGGAUUACUUACUAUAUUAAUUCUGUCCUUCAGCGACCCGUACAUCUCUCUGCACAUAAUGACUUUAGUCACAAAAUAUAUUGUUGAAACGAUUGUGGUUCCUCUCAAUUCCGAUUUCCUCAUAGACUGUGCUCGUGGUGUGUCCUCCUUCCUGGCCCGUGCCCAGGCAGGGGACAGCAGGGCAGCAGGACAAACCACCUCCCAGGCAUCCCACCCUGGGGCAAAGCAAGGAAGGGUUUGCAGGAGGAACCUCCCCAUUCAGCCUCUGAGGAUGGGGAGAGGGAAGAGGAUCCAGUGAUUGUGGACCCUUUCCUUCCUCACAGAGCUUCUGGGCGAUUGGGGAUGCCCACCUCCAUCUGAGGGGCUCCUCAGCUGUGCUGAGAAGACGCCCAUCCAAACCAGCCUCCUUCUGCCGACACAGAAGUCAAGUGCAGGCUGCGCAGCUUGUCCUGCAGCACAGUGAGUGAGCAGCAAGUGCAUGUCAUCUUCCCGGUGGCCGAGGUCUCUCAGCUGUGUGCAGCCCCUGCUGCCCUGGCUCCUCAGCCUGGCACAAGGCAACACACUGGCCAUGCUCCUCUGGGGCUGUUGGAUUCCACAGAGCAGCUUAGCUGGGGUGAGAUGUGUCCUACCCAACCUGGAGCAGGACCACGAGCUCUCUGCAUUAUUCUGCAAAGUCCUGGAAUCCUCCUCCCCUGCCAUCCUAGAGCAUCACUAGCUUAGAGCAGAAAUUCCUGUUAAUCUAUAGGUUAAUCCUUCCAUGGAGAAACCUGAGCUGUCAGGCUCUGUCCUUGCAUGUGGGCAAGUGCUCACACCUAAUGGGCUUUUGGACUUUGGAUUUUUACAAUUUCCAAAAUAUCCUUGCUAGUGGUAUAAAAUAACAGUGAAGUGACUCUCAAAUUAUUUUGCCUGAUUUCAAGUCUUUUACCUGAAGUUAAAGAAUUGAUUAAAAGGCAUCAAGAAUUUUCUAAUCACAUCUUUUUUUUCCCAGCAGAUGACCAAUAGAAGGGCAGCUUCUAUGGUCGGCAAAACCAAAAAAACCAAGCAAAAGGCACCAUGAGAGCUGAGGAGGUGAGAUCUUUGGUUUGUUUUGGUGUCUCUGCCUCUGAGCUGGGAUGUCACAGCCUGGGCACAGGGUGCAAGAGCCACUGCCCUGCACCACGCGGAGGUCACAGGCACCCAGCACCAUGCCAGGGAGGCAGCAGCAGAGGGCAGGAGGCUGGAACAAAUAGUUUAUUUGUGCUGACAAAGCUUUAACAGGUCACUGCAGGUUUGCAACCCGGUCAGCUGAAUAAACCCCAUGCUGCUCUCCUCCCAGGCUCAGGUGUCAGAGCAAAACUCUGUUCCAGUGUGUGAAAGCUGAUGGCUGGAGCACCUGCCUGGUGCUCUGGUUUCCUGCAUUUGCUGAUGUAGCUGCAGAAAGCUCCGUGCUACACACAGGGCAGAGAAAAACGGUAAGCAACAGGGUCUUAUAUCACCAUCUCCUAUGUUAUCCUUAGUCAAAGGGCUCUGUUUGAAACCUGGCAUCAGCAUACACAGAACAUGUUGCAUCUUUGCUGGUACCUCUUCAGUCUGGUUUGCAAGACAUCCUGGAGGAUGUGACCUUGGAAAGCAGGCAGACUAUCGAACCUGCAUAAUAAGAGCAUCUCCGCAUCGGUGGCAGCCUGUUGGGUACAGGGCAGUUCAUAAAUAAUGAGAAUGUCAAAGAUAACAGCAGGAAAGUGGGAGCAGGUAACAGCUUUACAGCCAGCUUUCUGACAGCCGCCUGGCAACAUCCAAUUAAGAGGUGCAUUCAGCCCAGCGCAGAGCGUGUCCGGCGCCAGGACUGAGGAUGUUGAGGUGCUGGCACUGGGGCAGCCCCUGCUCCCAAAGCAGAGGCGAAUGCUCUGUGAGCUGCACGGGUCUUCUGGGGAACAAAUCCCAGGGGGAAGCGAAAGGCACCCAGCCGUGGCUCUGGAAAGACAGAAUGGCAGUACUGGGAGGAGAGAUGCUCGCUGGCCUAGCACAAAGGGGUGUGCAAAGAGUGAUCAAUCCCGGCAGGGAGCAGGGAGAGGAGACACUGCAAAAGACGGUUCCAUCAGUUAAAUAUGUGACUCACUUCCAGGGCCUUGUGAGAGACGAGAACACCAGUCCUGGCCCCGCUCUGCAGAUGCUGCUGGGGCAGCUCCUCAGGAGUCUGGUCCCUGCUCCCACAAUUGUUUCUUUCGAGGGGUGAAUCGUAUUGUGCCACAACUCAAAUAUUAGGAAUCUGACUCUGUUUGGGGUGUAAUUGCUCUUCUGAUGGCUUUUUAAGCAUCUGGUAAGAGGGGACAGCUUUCCGAACUGCAAAAUCUACACCAAAAUGAUCUCGAUUUGAAUAAUAAGUAUUCCGUCCAUGUUUGGUAAAUAUACCCUGUGUUAAUGGUGCUUAAUGGUGCCUGUAAUUGGUGUCUAAAGUUAUUUAAAAGUAAAUUUACUAGAAAAUAAUUAGCAAUUUUAUAGUUCACUACUUCCUAAUUUUGUUGAUAAAAGUUUUUUCACUGGUUCUAUCAGAUGACACAAUAGGGCUGUGCUGUGAAAUCGCUUUUGUCAAAUGAGCAGGAAAUUGUGCACACAAAAUAAGAUUAAAAAAAUCCCCCCUAAUUUCUUUGCCUGGCUGCCAGCCCUCUCACUCCUUUGAUUAUCCACUGAUUUACCUUAAUCAGCAGCAAGUGCAAUGUCCCAGGCUUGGGGAUUUGUUCUUUGUGACCUUGGGCGAUGCACCUCGAGCUCCAAGGCCAGAGAGGAAAGCUGCCCCUCACUACAGGGACUGUCCUGCUGUCUCCACCACAGGGACACAUCCUGCUGUCCCCACUGCAGGGACAAUCUGGCUGCCUCCACCACAGGGACAUGUCCUGUUGUCCGCAGCGCUAAGUCUGGGGUACCAGUGGCUGGUCCCUGCCUGCAGAGGACAGCAGGGAUUCCUGACCCGAUCCUGUGCAGGGCACCUCUGGGGAUGCUGCAGGACAGGUGCUGGCCCAGGCAGUCCUGGUCCUGGUCCUGAUCCUGGUCCUGGUCCUGGUCCCAGCUGUAGCACAUGCUUUCCCCUGGCCCUUUGGCUGGUGGUGGGGUCACGGCCAGCACGUGCUGCGCGUCUGCCACAUGCAGGGAAUCGGUGCUGCUGGUGGACCCAGAGAAACAGAGCAGAGAAAUGCAGCUGCUACAAGGUUUUAUUGUUUGGAGCUGUGGGGUCAGGUGUUCGGUUAGGGAUUUUGGUACUGCUCAGGUACAGAGUGACACCAACAACAGCGACGCGUUCGAGAGGAGGCGACAGCAUAGCAGUUUGGUUUCAGAAAAGACUAACUCUCCACUUCCAGCCUCUGAACCACCAAGUACCAGCUUUUCCAGAACAAUGAAUCACUCAGUCUGUGUAUAAAAUUAAAUAUAAUUUAUGCUUUGCUAAUUGAAAUCAAAUACAAAAUUCAAUUUCCUGUGUAUUCUAACGCUGACAUUUGAAUUACUUAAAAAAAAAAAAAAAAGUGUUAUUAACCUGACUCCCUCCCUCGGGAGGCCCGUGAGAACAACAACCCUGGCAGAUCCUGCAUCCGCCCCGCAGGCAUGGCGUGCGGUGCAGCAAGCGACGUAUCCCACCCCUGCCCUGAGCCCCCCUCGAGUCCCUGCUGCCCCCAGCCGGGGGGACGCUGGCCCCAUAGCCCCAUAGCAGGAGGCAGGGGUCUUGUCCUGCCAGUGGCCGUCCAUGGGGCAGCUGCUCAGGGCCUGGCAGGUGCUCGGCGGCUCCAUCCGAGCUGGAGGUGGCUGCCAAUAUAAAAAAUAAACCUCUGGAGAUAUGACAGAAAGGAUGGGAGGGAGGGUGUGGGGCCAGGGGGGGCAUGGGCAGGCCCAGCAGCUCCCACGGCCAGCCUGGCUUCUGUAAACCAAGUGGCCACUCCCAGGGACCCCCUCCUCCGGAUCCCAGCUCUGGGACUCCGGCGCUGGAGCCCGUCCUCUAGGAGCCCUCCCACAGGACUCCUCUGCCAGGGCCGUGGUCCAGCCAUGGGACUGAGCCGCAGGUGCAACUGCUUCAUCUCAGUGCAGGAUGGACCCUCCUGCCCAGCUGCGUGCUGUGACUUCCCUGAUGGGUUCAUUGGGUUGCAGUUUUCAGACCAAGCAGUGUUUUUAGGUCUCCUGACCCUCCAGCAGUGGGUGCGAGGAGAAUGAUGGUGGCUUGAUGGCAGCUUGGACCCAGAGGCUCAUCCUGGGAGAAGCUCUUCUGAGAUGCCCAGGGAGACAUGGGGCACUGCUCAGACCAAGGCUGGGGUGGGCAAGGAGGUGUGUUGAGUGGGCAUGGGUGUUCUCAAGGACUCUUUCAGGCUCAAGGAGACCUUGCUUGAAGAAAAAACACCCUGGUUAAGCAUGGAUGGGGACUGAGAGAGUCCAAGCUUUGACCAUGGAGGUGAUGCAUGGUGCCACACUGAUGACUGUAAAAACCACAGUAACGCGCAGCCACCAACCUGCCAGGUCGUGGCCAUGCCAUGAGCUGGCACGACAUCCCUGUGCAGCCAAGCCCUCUGGCAGGCAGCCAGGGCCACUGAUCCCACCAUCUCCACUGCCAGGGCCAGCUCGCUGGGGCAUCGGGGCUGCAGCACACUGGGAACAGACAGAAAUUCCUGGAUAUCCUUCCAGCAAGGAGCCUGCGCACCAGGUCCCAAUGAGACCCCUGUCCUCUGAAUGAGUCUGCCAAGCAGCUUGCACCAAAUUGUGUAACCACAGUUUUCACUUAGGAGCCGAUCUGACAUUUCAAUAACGUGGGAAACACUGUGAAAUUAUGCCUAUUACAUACUUCCAAUUUUCAUGUAAUAAUUUUGGGAUUUGUGGGCCUGUGAAUAACCACGUUAUGUCAGGAGCUGUUUUUAAAUCUAAUCAGGCUAAUAGGAAUCGACAUGACAUUAGCGGGGACCUUGUGGUGCCCCUCCAGCACGGCCCACGCUGUAAAUUUUCCAAAUGGCUUUAGCUCUUUGUCAUCCAAUCCAAGGCACGAGCACCACGUCAUGGUCUAAUGAACCACAGGACAGGCCAUGAAACCCAGAGCAGGUUCAGCUUGUUACCCGGCGUGACAGCGAUUUCUCUCAGUCGGUUGGAUCAUUAGGGAUUUCUUGCCACCUUAAUCAAAUCUGAGUCUUGGUCCUCCCACAGCCGUCCCACGCCACAUCUCUGUUGCUUCCCCGAAGAGACGAGAGGCUGGCACAUAGCUCUGCUCCACCUGGGAGGCAACCUUACCACUCGUUACAACAAGGAAAGCAGCCGGCAAUUUUUGAGCGCCCUUAGACAUCACCCAUGUGAAGGGAACAUUUCAGCAAUGUCAGCUCUGCAUUUUUCCUUGUGUUCCCUCUCUGUUUUGCUCACAGUAAUACAGAUGGAAGCAGCGCAGCUGUGUCCAAUGCUGUUGUCCUGCUCUCCACUGGUCCCAGAAUGCAGCUCUCCUCACAUUCCUGGAGGAUCCAGUUGGGAUAAGGGUUUAUUCCACAGUUUCUAUCAAGAUUUGCAGAUUUUGUUGAGAGUGUGGCUUGGUCAUUUUCCACUAGGAAGUACAUUACCCUUAUGCGGAGCAGCACUCACCCUGGGAAUUAGUUGCUUUUUCGUAAUUCUGAAGUAAAGACGAAGGCUGCUUCCCCGCUUUGAAAACCCAGCUGCAGAGAGCAAGCAGCAGAGAUCUCAUUUUCAAGGUGCAAAUGAAGGGCAGUGCCAGGGGCCCUGACGCUCAGCCCUGCCCAGACCCUUGGCAGGGGCUGUGCCCCACGUCUCUGCCCGUCGGUUCCCACCAGAAGCACGUGGCUCCAAACCACACAUCAUUGCACAGCACGGCGUUGUGGGGAUGGGCACGGCACUGGCACGCCUGGCUCCACACGCCUGGGCAGCCUGGCAGGUUCCCAGCUCGCUCUGA